CAAGGAUUCCCCUAGUAACUGCGAGUGAAGCGGGAAGAGCUCAAAUUUAAAAUCUGGCGGCUUCUAGUCGUCCGAGUUGUAACCUGGAGAGGCAUUUUCUGCGUUGGACCGUGUACAAGUCUCCUGGAAUGGAGCGUCAUAGAGGGUGAGANUCNCGUCCAUGACACGGACCGCCAAUGCUCUGUGAUAUGCCUUCGAAGAGUCGCGUUGUUUGGGAAUGCAGCGCAAAAUGGGUGGUAAAUUCCAUCUAAAGCUAAAUAUUGGCGAGAGACCGAUAGCGAACAAGUACCGUGAGGGAAAGAUGAAAAGCACUUUGGAAAGAGAGUUAAACAGUACGUGAAAUUGUUGAAAGGGAAGCGCUUGAAGUCAGUCGCGUUCCGUGGAACUCAGCCUUACCUCGGUUUGGUGUACUUUCCAUUUGAACGGGUCAACGUCAAUUUUGGCCGGUGGACAAAGACAAGGGGAAUGUAGCGUUGCUUCGGUGACGUGUUAUAGACCCUUGUUGUAUACACCGGUUAGGAUUGAGGACUGCAGCACGCCCUUGUGGCCGGGGGUUCGCCCCACGUAACGUGCUUAGGAUGUUGGCAUAAUGGCUUUAAGCGACCCGUCUUGAAACACGGACCAAGGAGUCUAACAUGCUUGCGAGUGUUCGGGUGGAAAACCCUUGCGCGUAAUGAAAGUGAAAGUUAGGAACCUUCUCGCAAGAGAGGGUGCACUGACGCCCGGCCCUGACGUUCUCUGACGGUGCUGCGGUAGAGCAAGUGCGUUGGGACCCGAAAGAUGGUGAACUAUGCCUGAAUAGGGCGAAGCCAGAGGAAACUCUGGUGGAGGCUCGUAGCGAUUCUGACGUGCAAAUCGAUCGUCAAAUUNGGGUAUAG
rnacentral:rRNA from 1 species